rnacentral:rRNA from 1 species
UACGUAGGGUGCAAGCGUUAAUCGGAAUUACUGGGCGUAAAGCGUGCGCAGGCGGUCUGUUAAGACCGAUGUGAAAUCCCCGGGCUUAACCUGGGAACUGCAUUGGUGACUGGCAGGCUUUGAGUGUGGCAGAGGGAGGUAGAAUUCCACGUGUAGCAGUGAAAUCGUAGAGAUGUGGAGGAAUACCGAUGGCGAAGGCAGCCUCCUGGGCCAACACUGACGCUCA